CACCUCCGACCGAGUUGUGACGUUUGGAAGGUAAAAUUGCUAGUGGAGAAAUUCUAUAUCCUUAUUCGCACGACUCGCCUGCUAAGGAAUAUUUGUCAUAGUAACGAGGAUUACGACUGGACGUACGAGGCAUUUCCCUACCAGUAGCACUCUAUCACCCACUUGUGUGACAUCUUGUAAUAGUCUUUCCUUUUUGUAAAACUGGUUUUAGUCUGUGUCUGGUUCACUCUAGACAUUUUCUUGAAUGUUGUUAAUUAAUUCUAAACUCUGAUGUUAUUCAUGAAUAUUUUCUUCUAAUCAUUGCUCUUGUAAUCAAUUAAUGGCUUUCGUCACCUUGGGUG